GAACGCUGGCGGCGUGCCUAAUACAUGCAAGUCGAGCGAACAGACGAGGAGCUUGCUCCUCUGACGUUAGCGGCGGACGGGUGAGUAACACGUGGAUAACCUACCUAUAAGACUGGGAUAACUUCGGGAAACCGGAGCUAAUACCGGAUAACAUGUUGAACCGCAUGGUUCAACAGUGAAAGACGGUCUUGCUGUCACUUAUAGAUGGAUCCGCGCCGCAUUAGCUAGUUGGUAAGGUAACGGCUUACCAAGGCAACGAUGCGUAGCCGACCUGAGAGGGUGAUCGGCCACACUGGAACUGAGACACGGUCCAGACUCCUACGGGAGGCAGCAGUAGGGAAUCUUCCGCAAUGGGCGAAAGCCUGACGGAGCAACGCCGCGUGAGUGAAGAAGGUCUUCGGAUCGUAAAACUCUGUUAUUAGGGAAGAACAAAUGUGUAAGUAACUAUGCACGUCUUGACGGUACCUAAUCAGAAAGCCACGGCUAACUACGUG
rnacentral:rRNA from 1 species